AUUGAACGCUGGCGGCAUGCCUUACACAUGCAAGUCGAACGGCAGCACGGGUGCUUGCACCUGGUGGCGAGUGGCGAACGGGUGAGUAAUACAUCGGAACAUGUCCUGUAGUGGGGGAUAGCCCGGCGAAAGCCGGAUUAAUACCGCAUACGAUCUACGGAUGAAAGCGGGGGACCUUGGGGCCUCGCGCUAUAGGGUUGGCCGAUGGCUGAUUAGCUAGUUGGUGGGGUAAAGGCCUACCAAGGCGACGAUCAGUAGCUGGUCUGAGAGGACGACCAGCCACACUGGGACUGAGACACGGCCCAGACUCCUACGGGAGGCAGCAGUGGGGAAUUUUGGACAAUGGGCGAAAGCCUGAUCCAGCAAUGCCGCGUGUGUGAAGAAGGCCUUCGGGUUGUAAAGCACUUUUGUCCGGAAAGAAAUCCUUGGCCCUAAUACGGUCGGGGGAUGACGGUACCGGAAGAAUAAGCACCGGCUAACUACGUG
rnacentral:rRNA from 1 species